UCUCUCUGAAUCUGCGAACGGCUCCGCAAACCAGUUGUAAACUAUAGCAAGCAAGCCUCGGGGCCAGGAUAAAAGUCGUCCCGGGGUAAUAAGGAUAACCGUGGUAAUUCUGAGGCUAAUACAAGAGCGUAACCCCUGGCUGACAGGUAACUGAAGGCUGGGGAACGUGCAAUUCAGCGCAAAGAUUGCCGGGAGUAGGUGCACGUUCAGACCACCAUACCAAACGGUUGGCUCGAGCUUCGGCGAAGGCCUUCUGGGUGGCUCUUGCUGUGUGCUUCUGACCUAUCAACUAGAUGGCAGCGUAACGGACAUGCUAUGGUGACAACGGGUACAGAGGAUAAGGGUUCGAUCCUGGAGAGUGGGCCUGAGAGAUU
rnacentral:rRNA from 1 species